rnacentral:rRNA from 1 species
AUGGUGUGGUCCGUCCGCGUCCCCCUGAAGAUUCGCAUCUUCAUGUGGCAGUGGAUCCGUAGACGGAUCCCGUCCGGUGUGGAGGUCCGCAAGCGUAAUGGCCCGGGCACUGGUAUCUGCCCCCUCUGUGCUGUUCCCGAGGACUCCAACCACAUCUUCUUCGCCUGCGUCUCCGCCCGGUUCCUCUGGAGCUGCUUUCGCGCGAUUGUCGGUGGGAGUUGGUGCAACACCAAUUUCCCGGACUUAUUUGCUGAACUCCAAUUGUCCCCUUCGUCCUCUCGCCACAUUAGGUGGCUCGAGGUUGGGGUCCUUGCCUGGACGCUUUGGACCGUUCGCAAUAAGCUAGUGAUCCAGCGUACUCCUCUUCGUCGCGCUACUGUGCUCUCUAUAAAUUCUCGGGUCUCUUGCAGCUUUGGCGGCCGCUUAGCCACCCCCUGGAUCGGGACGCCAUCUCUGCCUUCAUCGCCGAUCUCCGCUCGAUGGCCGUCCGCCUGUCGCCCCCGCCGCCGCCGCCUCCGCCGGAGCCUGACUAGAUCGCCUGCACUGGGCAGGCUUUGUUUUUUCUCUUUCUUCUGGGCUUGUUGA